GCCAGUGUGGUGCAGUGGUUUGAGCGCUGGACUAAGACUCCAGAGACCAGGGUUCAAAUCCCACCUUGGCC